GGAAGGAGGUACCAACUCCUUGAGCAGCCACAUCAAGCCAGGUCCCCCAUGUUUUCAUCAAGAGAAAAUUUUCACUGUAGGUCGAGGGACCAGAAUGGGCUUGUUCAUUCAGAAGAGCAGAAAAGCAGUGCAGUUUUCUUCUUGCUACAUUGGCAUGGUUGAGAAUCAUCAUUCACUGUAACAGUUUUUGGGUAGAAUUCUGUUUGCUGUAUAGCUUCUGACAACCACAAAGCUCUCAAGCUUUCAAACUUCUGCUAACUCAAAGGAGCAAGCAUUUUUUUUCAAAUUCAGAGAAGCCCCUGAACACCACAGGAAUUUUGUACAGUGUCUGCUUGCCUGCUAUUGACCAAUGCUGCUUUUUAGUCAUAAGGGUGGAAAUGUGCUCCCCCUGGUCUUGGGUCAAUUUAUCGGCCAUGAGGUGAAAACAAAAUCAGAAGAAAGUGGC